rnacentral:tRNA from 1 species
GGCGGAGUAGCUCAGUUGGCUAGAGCACGCGGUUCAUACCCGCGGUGUCGGGGGUUCAAAUCCCUCCUCCGCUACCA